UCUGGAAACGGCCGCUAAUACCCCAUAUGCCGCGAGGUGAAACGAGUUUUCGCCUGAGGAUGAGCUCGCGUCUGAUUAGCUAGUUGGUGGGGUAAGAGCCUACCAAGGCAUCGAUCAGUAGCUGGUCUGAGAGGAUGAUCAGCCACACUGGGACUGAGACACGGCCCAGACUCCUACGGGAGGCAGCAGUGGGGAAUUUUCCGCAAUGGGCGAAAGCCUGACGGAGCAACGCCGCGUGAGGGAUGAAGGCCUCUGGGCUGUAAACCUCUUUUCUCAAGGAAGAAGAUCUGACGGUACUUGAGGAAUAAGCCACGGCUAAUUCCGUGCCAGCAGCCGCGGUAAUACGGGAGUGGCAAGCGUUAUCCGGAAUUAUUGGGCGUAAAGCGUCCGCAGGCGGUCUUGAAAGUCUGUUGUUAAAGCGUGGAGCUUAACUCCAUUUCAGCAAUGGAAACUAGAAGACUAGAGUGUGGUAGGGGCAGAGGGAAUUCCCGGUGUAGCGGUGAAAUGCGUAGAUAUCGGGAAGAACACCAGUGGCGAAGGCGCUCUGCUGGGCCAUAACUGACGCUCAUGGACGAAAGCCAGGGGAGCGAAAGGGAUUAGAUACCCCUGUAGUCCUGGCCGUAAACGAUGAACACUAGGUGUCGGGGGAAUCGACCCCCUCGGUGUCGUAGCCAACGCGUUAAGUGUUCCGCCUGGGGAGUACGCACGCAAGUGUGAAACUCAAAGGAAUUGACGGGGGCCCGCACAAGCGGUGGAGUAUGUGGUUUAGUUCGAUGCAACGCGAAGAACCUUACCAGGGUUUGACAUCCUGCGAAUCCCUUGGAAACGAGGGAGUGCCUUCGGGAGCGCAGAGACAGGUGGUGCAUGGCUGUCGUCAGCUCGUGUCGUGAGAUGUUGGGUUAAGUCCCGCAACGAGCGCAACCCACGUCUUUAGUUGCCAGCAUUCAGUUGGGCACUCUAGAGAGACCGCCGGUGAUAAACCGGAGGAAGGUGUGGAUGACGUCAAGUCAUCAUGCCCCUUACAUCCUGGGCUACACACGUACUACAAUGCUACGGACAAAGGGCAGCAAACUCGCGAGAGCUAGCAAAUCCCAUAAACCGUGGCUCAGUUCAGAUCGUAGGCUGCAACUCGCCUACGUGAAGGAGGAAUCGCUAGUAAUCGCAGGUCAGCAUACUGCGGUGAAUACGUUCCCGGGCCUUGUACACACCGCCCGUCACACCAUGGAAGUUGGCCACGCCCGAAGUCGUUACUCCAACCCUUGUGGGGAGGAUGCCGAAGGUGGGGCUGAUGACUGGGGUGAAGUCGUAACAAGGUA
rnacentral:rRNA from 1 species